CUGUGUUCUUGCACAGAUCUUAAAAUAUGACGAUCAUAAAUGGAAACAUCGGCUCGUGGAGAUACGUAGAUUUUGAAAGUCGAUUUGUUCAAAACUUGAAACUAGCGUUGAUAACUGGACCAGUUGUUGGUUGAGAUGUUGCAAGAGAAAUAUCUGCUGAAGUGUCUGACGAAAAGCUUUGUAACUUUUUUCCAGCAAUCGGAUUUUUCCUGUUUUUCAAGUUUAUAUGUUCAUUUAAAGAGGACCUACGCGAAGACCAGAAGAAUGCGUUGGUAAAAUAGUCAGAUCGACGGAAAUCUACGGCAAACGACAUAAAAAAAGAGAUGGUUUGACAUUAUUAGAGAGGACACGGAGACGUGCGAGUUAGAAGAAGAAGACGCCAUGAUGAAUCGGAAUAAAUGGAAGCAAGGGAGUUGCAAAACGACCCCCACAAUUAUAUGGUAGCUUUCAGAAACCUAUUUCAGGAGUGUAUCGUUCUUGCAAUUUUAAACUAUAUUUCCGUUACCAAAUAAAGAACAUUUUCCCAAUAAAAUUAA